rnacentral:lncRNA from 1 species
CACACCCACUGCUGUGUUGAGACAAAAGUGGAAGUUUCCCUGCAAUGCUAUGAUCCAACUCUAGUCGCCAGGUUCCCAAGGCUGCAGCAAGAUUACAACAGUUUCUGCUGAAGAGAAUGCUGGCACAAGGCUUCCAACCUAUCCCAUCUACUGACCUGGAGAAUGAAAGCAUCCUGUCUCUGGGCUGGCCCCUUAUAUUGGUAUCCAGAGAUUUAUACUCCUUCAAUGAUAGGCAGGGCCUACACCUGUAAAAUCAUCAGGAAGCAAUUACAGACGGUGGGCCUCUACCCUGCUACAGCCCUCUUAAGAUUCAGAAGGAGUAUCUAUUCUCUGAGGAUGAAGUUAGGAGGUGGGACUCAACUCCAGAGGCAGGGACUCAACUUUGGACCAGAUAGAAAACUAGCUGAACAAAGGAAGAGGAGAAAUCACCUCUUCACAAGACAUGCCCACUAGUGCCAUGGCAACACCCAGAAGUUAUAGCCCCUUUCCAUGGCAAUGACUCGGAAGUACCACCCUUUUUCUGGAAGAUUCAGAAUAACCCACCCCUUAAUUUGCAUGUAAUUAAAAGUGAGUCUACAUAUGACUGAAGAACUGCCCCUGAGCUACUACACUGGGCACACUGCCUAUAGGGUAGCCUUGAUCCACAAGCAGCAGUACCUCUGCUGCUGCUGUACAUUGCUGCUUCAAUAAAAGUUGCUACCACCAGCA